AUUGAACGCUGGCGGCAGGCCUAACACAUGCAAGUCGAGCGGAUGAAGGGAGCUUGCUCCUGGAUUCAGCGGCGGACGGGUGAGUAAUGCCUAGGAAUCUGCCUGGUAGUGGGGGAUAACGUCCGGAAACGGGCGCUAAUACCGCAUACGUCCUGAGGGAGAAAGUGGGGGAUCUUCGGACCUCACGCUAUCAGAUGAGCCUAGGUCGGAUUAGCUAGUUGGUGGGGUAAAGGCCUACCAAGGCGACGAUCCGUAACUGGUCUGAGAGGAUGAUCAGUCACACUGGAACUGAGACACGGUCCAGACUCCUACGGGAGGCAGCAGUGGGGAAUAUUGGACAAUGGGCGAAAGCCUGAUCCAGCCAUGCCGCGUGUGUGAAGAAGGUCUUCGGAUUGUAAAGCACUUUAAGUUGGGAGGAAGGGCAGUAAGUUAAUACCUUGCUGUUUUGACGUACCAACAGAAUAAGCACCGGCUAACUUCGUG
rnacentral:rRNA from 1 species